rnacentral:rRNA from 1 species
UACAGAGGGUGCGAACGUUGCUCGGAAUUACUGGGCGUAAAGCGCAUGUAGGCGGAUCCAUAAGUCGGGCGUGAAAUCCCCAGGCUCAACCUGGGAACUGCGCUCGAAACUGUGGGUCUCGAGUGUCGGAGAGGAUGGCGGAAUUCCUGGUGUAGAGGUGAAAUUCGUAGAUAUCAGGAGGGACACCGGUGGCGAAGGCGGCUCACUGGCCCGAUACUGACGCUGAGGUGCGAAAGCGUGGGGAGCAAACAGG